GCCAAUCACUGGCAAUCAAGAGCUCCUCACCUGGUAAUGAACUAUCAGACACCUGUGUACUACAGCUUCUGAUCAGAGGCGUUCCCAAACCAGAUGAGAUGUGUAAUCCCUGCAGCCAGCUCUGGGUCUGGGUCACCUCCUGGUUGAACGUGUCCUGAAAACCCUCUGGAGGGUGGUGCCCUGUAGGCAUCCUAAUCACCACCUCAGCUGGCCUUGGAAAGACAAGGACAAGAUAAAACUUAUGACUCCGCCAAGCCAGAAGAGUCCUGAUUGGUCCUGUCACUUUCUUACCAGGCUCAAACGGUUCAGACGGGAG